ensembl:snRNA U2 U2 spliceosomal RNA
AUUGCUUCUCGGCCUUUUGGCUAAGAUCAAGUGUAUAAAGAAACCAAAUUUUCUUUAUUUUCUUAUUCAGUAAUGGGCAAUUGAGCUGUUUCCAAGUCUUAGCUAUUACAAACUGUGCCUCUGUAAACAUGGGUGCACAUAUAUUGCU